AGUGGGAUAGCUGGGUCAAAUGGUGGUUCCAUUCCAAGUUUUCUAAGGAAUCUCCUCCAUACUGCUUUCCAGAGUGGUUGUACCAAAUUGCAGUCUCAUCAGCAAU
rnacentral:pre_miRNA from 1 species